CUGUCAAAUAAAUAAAUAAAAUCUUAAAAAAAAAAAAAGAACAGGGUUGUGUGUCUACGUAGGAGGGUAUCGAUGUGUGUGGUGGUGGGGUGGGCUCCGGCACACGAGGGUGUAAUCAGAUAGAGGGGUGACGUUAAAAAGUAAUGUAAGUCUUCUGUAUUGAUACAGACCUUUGUGUUUGUAGAAUUGUGGCUUUUAGGGUUAUAAUUUUGAUAAGACAAAAAAAGAAGCAUCAAACAAAGGUUCUAGUUUUUUAAGGAGGAAGUGGCAAGCCUUUUUAAUAGAACUUUCUCUAGAAAACGUCUUCCUAUUUUAAACUUCGAACGCAAGAUGCAUCAUCCUCCUGCUAUCGUAUGAGUCCAGACCUCUGUAGCAGAGCUGACUCCAGGGAACAAUCCAUUUAUAAAAUUGCUGAAUUCCCUACAAGGCCGGGACUGGCCAGAAGAUUUCAUGCAGCUGGUCACAAAUUCCAGUAUAGUUGUUUUCAGUUGGGUUCCCAGGAAACAGGUUCUGAACAGCAAUCUCGACAUAGAAGUCUUGUUGAGGAGGGCUUCCAGAAGAUACAUUUGCAAGGAAGCGAGGAAAGCAGAUUUGGGCAGAAAGGGAACAAUAUGAGUACAGCUGUGACCAACAUCUCUGGAUCCUCCGGGGAGUGACUGGGGCAGGAAUGAGCCUUUGCAGUUGUCCUGAAGGGGGUCAAAGCACAGGGUCUCUGCUUCUCUACCUCAGCCAAUCGCUAACUGCAGCCCCCUGGAAGAGAGGGAAGCCGAGAGCGAGGGAAUUUCCUGAAACCAAGGGCCUCAUUUGGGAAAAUGAUCUUUGUAAAUGUAAUUACGUUAAGGAUCUCAAGUUGAGAUCUGAGCCCUGAAUCCAAUGACACUUGUCCUUUAAGAGCCACACGGAGGAGAAACCGAGGAAAGAGAAGUAAAGACAGAGACAAAGGUGAUGCAGCCAAGAGCAGAGAAGGACCCGGAGCCACCAGAAGCUGGAAGAGGCAAAGUAGGGUUCCCUCUUACAACCUUUGGAAGGAGCUGGGUCUGCUCACAGACUCCUGGUCUCCAGGCUCUGCAUUGGUAACUUUCUGCUGUUAUAAACCAUCAAGCUCGUGGUAAUUUGCAACAGCAUCUCCAGGAAACUAAUGCACAAUCCCGGGCUGCCUAGUGCGAGGAUGGAGCCCCCAUCCCAGGAGCUAAUUUGGAGGAGUAGCCCUCGUGAUCCUAAGUGAUCAUCUCUCGCAUUAAGAAGUCACAUCCCUAAAGAUGGCUGUCGGCCAUCGGCUGCCGUUAGUGGUAGAAGCCUCAGGCUUCAGCCAGUAGGAGGCGCUAUCACCAGAGGCCGGGGCAGUGACACUAGAGCUCUACUAAUUGGGUUCAAAUCUCUUUUUCCACCACCUACCUGCUGUUCGCUUAAGCAAAUUUUGUAGCUUAUCUGUGCCUCCGAAUUUAUCAUCUGUCAAAAUAGAGAAAAAAAAAACAGUUCUGUCCGAUCUUCGCUAUAAGAAAUAACUGGAAUAAUAUAUAAAGCACUUUAAAAUGCCUAUUUCUUGUAAGCUCACAACACGUAUUAACUGCCACAAUUAUUUUAAGAUUUUCCUCUUAACCAAUGGGACUCUAAGGUAAUUCUCAUUAUCCUCUCCUAACAAACCUUUUAAUUAACAGGUUGUCAAGCAAUUACUUUCAAUUGUCUAUAAUAUGGGUACUUGCACAAGGAAUUUGAUAUGGAUACAGAAUGUCUAUACACGAAUCCAAUGUGGGCUUAAUUAUAUUAGAGAAGGUGAUGCUUCAUGGGGAAACAUUAGGAGUAAAAAUAUUUUGCUUUGUUUUUUCAGUAGCGAAGUAUGAUGGGAUUAAAUGCUAAUUAACGCAACUUUUGCCAGUGGGUCAGAAAAUCCCUACGGUUGGAGGUCCGUCAGAUUUUUUGGCCAUAUGACUUCUAGACUUUAGAUAUUUGGAAAUCUAUGAUAUUUUGUGAAUAUGAAUAUGUAGCUCAGAGCCUGAAGGUUACUCUUGAGGGAAUAUGUCAGGUUUCCAUACCAUUUGGAGGCUUGCUGUCUACCCUAUGUGAGAAAGUAGUGGCUACCGGUGAUCAUUCUUGGACAUUAUUAUUAAAAGCUGACCUUGAAAAAAAGUGACCUUGAAACCUCUUAAUAUUUGCAAAGCUUUAAGGAAAAAAAAAUCUCUAUUAUGGAUUAAGUCACAGACAUCGUGGCAGAAAGAUGUCCCCAAACCACAGGUUGUUUGCCUGGUCACAAGUAGAAAAAGGAGCCGUUAGGUAGAAAAACUGGUGUUUAUCCAGGUUGGGGAAAAGUGCCUAGACCCAGGAAUAUUUUCUCGAGCCAAAGUUCUGAAUAUCAUACUCGUAAGUGUUCUAGCCAUGGGAAUACAGGUUUGUCUGGCUGAGGACUCCCCAGGGCCCACCCAACCCACCUGAGAGAGAGAACCUAAAUUUUCUGGAUCUUUAUUUCGUUCAUCCUCCCACCCCUGUGCUCACGCAUUUUCCUGGUUUCCGGAAACUCACAGCAAAGCAAUACCACUGUACCCUGUCCUUUUUUCCCCCCUUGCCCCUUGCCUCUCUGCUACAGGUCUUUCAACCGACCCUGCUUGUCACCAGCAAUUUAGAAAUGAUUAGUCUUUCCAUCUUCCCUGUCCUGCCCUGCUUUGUUCCAAGGCUAAUUUCCAUCCUACCCUCUUCAUCAGAGCCCAUUGUUCCAGAUGUGAUGUCUCUCACAUCACUCACGCUGAAUUCUCCCAGCUGCCCAGGCCCAAGUCUGGCUACAGAGGCCUCCCAUCCCUCCCUCCAGCUGUCAAAUGCCCUAAACCAGCUCUGGACCUCUCUCUGCACGGAUCCAAGGUCCACCCCUCACUCUCUCUUCCUGGAACGUUUUCCCCCAGCCUUUCCCCAGGCCUGCUGUUGCUGCUGUGAACAGACUGUUCCUGUUUCCUAGGAUACACAGAGCUUUCCCCAAACCCUUCUUUGUCUUUUGAUUCCUCUGCCAGAUUACGCACACUGAUGGGCAAGAUUUCUGGGCACAGGCGAGCCUUCUGAACUUCAUUGUAAUUUGGCUGAAUGGAUUUGUUGGUCUCCUUAGCAGGUUGUUUCCCCCUACAAGAGGUCCUCAACCUAGAAUGCCCUUUUGUCACAUUGAGAAGCUUUUUAAAAUGCAUUCUCCCAGACGUGUGUGAUGUGGACAUUGCUAUGGUUUAACAGUUCCCAAGGGAGGUCUAGCGUGCAGGCCUAGGCUUGAAAAUCAGUACAGAAACUUCAACCCACACAUGCUCAUCUCACCUGGCUCUUCUCUAAGGAGGUUAGAGUUCACCUUGAACUUCUGGUGGUGUAGCAGCCCACCUGUAGGAUGCUUCACAGCCCCGUCCUCAGCCUCAGUUCACCCCAAAACAACAGGAACAGAAUGUGCCUUCAGAGCUUUCCAAGAAAGUUGCAGGGAAAGUUGGCAAUGCAUCUGGUAAACCUCCAAAGAAGACUUAAUAAAAGAAAUUAGAAGGGCCCAGGCUGAAAAGGAAUUCAGGGUGAUCACACAACAGGUACAUUUUUCGAUAAACUGUGAACUGCUCUGGAAACUCUGGCAAAAUAACAGUGCUGGGCAGUUAACCGUGUGCGUCUCACCUGAGUUUCUGCCCCCUCUUCCCUUCUAGGUUUGAUUGCUGGAGGCUGGAGCUGGAUUUCGAAGUCUUCUAGUCUGAGGGACCAUUUUACAGAUGAGAAAACUGAGGCCAAGAGAGAUGAUCAUAAUCUAGCAUAAGAUUCACAGCUACAUAGGGAAAGAGGGAGGCAGGAAACAGUCAUCCUUCUCAGAGUCCAACGUUCUUCCAGCCACACCCACUUCUCAACAUUUAGUAGUCUCCUUUGGAAAUGUGGCUGAUAAUUGGCAAUGUAAAAAUUGGUGGUUUGGUGAAUGCCCAAGAGAAAUUGAAUUUUGUAAACAAGCAAUUGCUAGAGGUAAUUGGUGAUUCAUUAUUAAACUCAAAAACUGUGGGAAAUACACGGGAAAAAUGACUCUCUCUCCAAACCUCUCUGUAGCAGGAUGAUGCAUUAUCUCACAGAGGUAUGAACUGGAAAAGACGGUGCAGACUUAGUGCUUAGUUCUGGACCUGUCACAGGGGAAGAGGACAAUAAAUGGUUGUACGAACAGGAGAGGUUUUGCAGAAUCAGCCCGUUGCAAAGCAGAAAUGCAAUGAAGAUCUCACUGUUUUCUUUCUGAACAGAGAGAAGGAAGUGUUGCAAACUGUAGCUGUUGCAUUGAUUAGGGACUCAGUGUUUCCUUUUCAGUUUAAAUGCACAUUCAGGUGCUUUACUCCCACCUCCACAACCAAUAAAAACAAAGCUGAUCUCUUACUUUUAAUUCCAUCCAGUUCAUUCCUUAGGAAACAGGGCCAAGCGAGCUGGAAUAGUUAGCCACAUUUUACCUGUGAACUUGGAAAGAUGAAAUAAUCAGACUGCCUUCUACUCUGAGCUGUGUGUCCUCGUCUUCUGUCCAUCACGUCACUGGCUGAUGUGGAAGGGGUUGGGCUCGUCGUUAGAACUGGGAUAAAGGAUCCUAGCUGAGCCAUUCCUGAGGCUCUGAUUAAUGCACGCCUCAACAAACGUGCCACCAUCCAAAGGCUACCUGAAAGGAUGAUGAAACUGCAAGCACCACGAAUGACCUCUUUGGAGCUGGCAGAGAAUGGAGUCACUCUACUCUGCAUGGAAGUCCACAUUUUCACACCAUACUGUACUCUAAUAUAGAUGACAUGGUCAGCAAGUUUGUUUGGGGAACUUACUUUUAGGAUAAUUUCUUGCAGUAUGAGGUCAUAUUAGAAAUUUCGCGAACUGGAAACAGUAGAAGCUAUCACCUCACCAGAAGAGAUCACUCUGUUCGAAAGAUGCGGAAACAGGUGUGAUAAGGGAAGCUUGGGAGGAAUUGAAGCCUGCCCUACAACUGUGUCCGGGUGUAUUUCUCAUGCAUGUUGCGAUGCCAGUUAUGUACGGAGCAAACAAAGGGUUAAAUCCCAAAGCUAUGGAGCCUCAGAAUUGAAUUCAGGCAUUGGCUUUGUCCCUUGUGUGACCCUGGUAAAAUACUGAACCAUCUCUACAUCUCUUCUCUGAAGUGAGGUUAAUUACAGCCUCCCCCCGCCCCCCAGAUACCAGUGCAAAGAAGUGGUCAAUAUCCAUAUCUUCAUCUUCAUCCGUGUGGUCAUCAUUGUCAUGAAAACCUGGAAAUAAAAUAUAUUGAUGCUGAACCUCAUUUUUGCUACCGGCUUUUGUAAGAUUUAG